UAGGGAAUCUUCGGCAAUGGGGGGAACCCUGACCGAGCAACGCCGCGUGAGUGAAGAAGGUUUUCGGAUCGUAAAGCUCUGUUGUUAAGGAAGAACGAGUGUGAGAAUGGAAAGUUCAUACUGUAACGGUACUUAACCAGAAAGGGACGGCUAACUACGUGCCAGCAGCCGCGGUAAUACGUAGGUCCCGAGCGUUGUCCGGAUUUAUUGGGCGUAAAGCGAGCGCAGGCGGUUAGAUAAGUCUGAAGUUAAAGGCAGUGGCUCAACCAUUGUAGGCUUUGGAAACUGUUUAACUUGAGUGCAGAAGGGGAGAGUGGAAUUCCAUGUGUAGCGGUGAAAUGCGUAGAUAUAUGGAGGAACACCGGUGGCGAAAGCGGCUCUCUGGUCUGUAACUGACGCUGAGGCUCGAAAGCGUGGGGAGCGAACAGG
rnacentral:rRNA from 1 species